rnacentral:rRNA from 1 species
CGUUAACCUCGGAUCAGGUAGGAAUACCCGCUGAACUUAAGCUAUC